rnacentral:rRNA from 1 species
GACGAACGCUGGCGGCGUGCCUAAUACAUGCAAGUCGAACGCAGUGGGGACGGGUGAGUAACACGUGGGUAACCUCCCAUCAGAGGGGAUAACCCUUGGAAACAGGUGCUAACCCGCUACUGAUGGAUGAACCCGCGGUGCAUUAGCUUGUUGGUGAGGUAACGGCUCACCAAGGCCACGAUGCAUAGCGGACCUGAGAGGAGGAUCAGCCAUACUGGGACUGAGACACGGCCCAGACUCCUACGGGAGGCAGCAGUGGGGAAUCUUCGGCAAUGGACGAAAGUCUGACCGAGCAACGCCGCGUGAGUGAAGAAGGUUUUCGGAUCGUAAAACACUGUUGGUAGAGAAGCGGUAUCUAACCAGAAAGCCACGGCUAACUACGUGCCAGCAGCCGCGGUAAUAC